GCCGAGGUAGCUCAGCGGUAGAGCAAACGGCUCAUAAUCGUUAGGUCGCGGGUUCGAAUCCCGCCUUCGGCACCA
rnacentral:tRNA from 1 species